rnacentral:rRNA from 1 species
GGGAGGAGGCUCUUGGGUCGUAAACCUCUUUUCUCAAGGAAGAAAAAAAUGACGGUACUUGAGGAAUCAGCAUCGGCUAACUCCGUGCCAGCAGCCGCGGUAAUACGGAGGAUGCAAGCGUUAUCCGGAAUGAUUGGGCGUAAAGCGUCCGCAGGUGGCUGUGUAAGUCUGCUGUUAAAGAAUGAGGCUCAACCUCAUCAAAGCAGUGGAAACUACACGGCUAGAGUGCGUUCGGGGCAGAGGGAAUUCCUGGUGUAGCGGUGAAAUGCGUAGAGAUCAGGAAGAACACCGGUGGCGAAAGCGCUCUGCUAGGCCGCAACUGACACUGAGGGACGAAAGCUAGGGGAGCGAAUGGGAU